rnacentral:rRNA from 1 species
AACGAACGCUGGCGGCGUGCCUAACACAUGCAAGUCGAACGAGAAAGGGGUAGCAAUACCCCCGGUAAAGUGGCGAACGGGUGAGUAACACGUGGGUAACCUGCCCUCGAGCUCGGAAUAACCCGCCGAAAGGUGGGCUAAUACCGGAUAAUGUUUUCGGUCCCUCGGGACUGAAAACCAAAGAUGGCCAAUGCUUGCAAGCUAUCACUUGAGGAGGGGCUCGCGGCCCAUUAGCUAGUUGGCGGGGUAAUGGCCCACCAAGGCGACGAUGGGUAGCCGGCCUGAGAGGGCGAUCGGCCACAUUGGAACUGAGACACGGUCCAGACUCCUACGGGAGGCAGCAGUGAGGAAUCUUGCGCAAUGGGCGAAAGCCUGACGCAGCAACGCCGCGUGGGUGAUGAAGGCCUUCGGGUCGUAAAACCCUGUCAGGCGGGAAGAAUCGGGCGGGAGCUAAUAUCUCCUGCCCUUGACUGUACCGCCAGAGGAAGCCCCGGCUAACUCCGUGCCAGCCGCCGCAGUAACAC